UAAUACGUAGGAGGCGAGCGUUAACCGAAUUUACUGGGCGUAAGGGGGGCGUAGGCGGCUUUUCAAGUCGGGUGUAAAAUCUCCCCGCUUAACGGGGAGGGGUCAUUCGAUACUGUUAAGCUAGAGGACAGCAGAGGGAGGUGGAAUUCCCGGUGUAGUGGUGAAAUGCGUAGAUAUCGGGAGGAACACCAGUGGCGAAGGCGGCCUCCUGGGCUGUUUCUGACGCUGAGGUCCGAAAGCGUGGGGAGCAAACAGGAUUAGAUACCCUGGUAGUCCACGCUGUAAACGAUGGGCACUAGGUAUAGGGAGUAUCGACCCUCUCUGUGCCGAAGCUAACGCGUUAAGUGCCCCGCCUGGGGAGUACGGUCGCAAGACUA
rnacentral:rRNA from 1 species